CAGUCGCCGCGGGAAUACGUAGGUGGCAAGCGUUGUCCGGAAUUAUUGGGCGUAAAGCGCGCGCAGGUGGUUUAAUAAGUCUGAUGUGAAAGCCCACGGCUCAACCGUGGAGGGUCAUUGGAAACUGUUAAACUUGAGUGCAGGAGAGAAAAGUGGAAUUCCUAGUGUAGCGGUGAAAUGCGUAGAGAUUAGGAGGAACACCAGUGGCGAAGGCGGCUUUUUGGCCUGUAACUGACACUGAGGCGCGAAAGCGUGGGGAGCAAACAGGAUUAGAUACCCCCGUAGUCCCUGUCUCUUAUAC
rnacentral:rRNA from 1 species